rnacentral:misc_RNA from 1 species
GAUGAAGAACGUAGCGAAAUGCGAUAAGUAAUGCGAAUUGCAGAAUUCCAGUGAAUCAUCGAAUCUUUGAACGCACAUUGCGCCCGCCAGUAUUCUGGCGGGCAUGCCUGUUCGAGCGUCAUUUCAACCCUCAGGCCCCCAGUGCCUGGUGUUGGGGAUCGGCCCAGCCUUCCUGUAAGGCCGCCGGCCCCGAAAUCUAGUGGCGGUCUCGCUGUAGUCCUCCUCUGCGUAGUAGCACAACCUCGCAGUUGGAACGCGGCGGUGGCCAUGCCGUUAAACACCCCACUUCUGAAAGUUGACCUCGGAUCAGGUAGGAAUACCCGCUGAACUUAAGCAUAUCAAUAAGCGGAGGA